CCUACGGGAGGCAGCAGUAGGGAAUCUUCCGCAAUGGACGCAAGCUGACGGAGCAACGCCGCGUGAGUGAUGAAGGUUUUCGGAUCGUAAAGCUCUGUUGCCCUAGACGCGGUAUAGGAGAAGAAAGCCCCGGCUAACUACGUGCCAGCAGCCGCGGUAAUACGUAGGGGGCAAGCGUUGUCCGGAAUUAUUGGGCGUAAAGCGCGCGCAGGCGGUCAUUUAAGUCUGGUGUUUAAUCCUGGGGCUCAACCCCAGUUCGCAUCGGAAACUGGAUGACUUGAGUGUAAGAGAGGAAAGUGGAAUUCCACGUGUAGCGGUGAAAUGCGUAGAGAUGUGGAGGAACACCAGUGGCGAAGGCGACUUUCUGGUUUAACUGACGCUGAGGCGCGAAAGCGUGGGGAGCAAACAGGAUUAGAUACCCUUGUAGUC
rnacentral:rRNA from 1 species